rnacentral:snRNA from 1 species
UAAAGCCAAUGAUUAGAGG